AGUAGUCGUACAUACUAUUAGAGUGUUGGGCUGCUUCUAAUCAGUUCAAUUUUUCACUUGGUUCAUCAUUUUGGAGGUUUUUUUUUUAUGAAGCCCAUUUAUUUUGACUUGUAAUAUACUGCAAAUUUGAGUUGUAAAAUACCGGAGGAGAAUAAUCGAAUCUGGUUAAUAGAAUAUUUUGAAAUGAUUUGGGAGUGUUAAAAUAUGGUUCCAUAUAUAUUGGAAUGACUGGCAGAAUUGAUCCUUUGAGAAUGAAGAACUGAUCCUCUUUUGGGGCAAUGUGUUCUAUGAAAGUGAUAGACACAACUCAAUUCAACUCAACUAAG
rnacentral:misc_RNA from 1 species